rnacentral:ncRNA from 1 species
AGUUGAUAAAGCCACAGUCGUCGCGAGGCGGUGUCGGAAAACCACGGGUCUCUGAUGGGAGAGAUAGCCGGGUUACCUGC